rnacentral:rRNA from 1 species
CCUACGGGAGACAGCAGUGAGGAAUAUUGGUCAAUGGGCUUACGCCUGAACCAGCCAAGUCGCGUGAGGGAAGACUGCCCUAUGGGUUGUAAACCUCUUUUGUCAGGGAGCAAUUGGCGCUACGUGUAGCGUUAUCGAGAGUACCUGAAGAAAAAGCAUCGGCUAACUCCGUGCCAGCAGCCGCGGUAAUACGGAGGAUGCGAGCGUUAUCCGGAUUUAUUGGGUUUAAAGGGUGCGUAGGCGGAAUGCCAAGUCAGCGGUAAAAUCGCGGGGCUCAACCUCGCUCCGCCGUUGAAACUGGCGGUCUUGAGUGGGCGAGAAGUAUGCGGAAUGCGUGGUGUAGCGGUGAAAUGCAUAGAUAUCACGCAGAACUCCGAUUGCGAAGGCAGCAUACCGGCGCCCAACUGACGCUGAAGCACGAAAGCGUGGGUAUCGAACAGGAUUAGAUACCCGAGUAGUC